rnacentral:tRNA from 1 species
AGGAUAAUAAUUUAAGUUAAAAUAUUUAUUUAGCAAAUAAAAAAUAUUUCAUAAUUUAUCUUA